rnacentral:rRNA from 1 species
GACGUAGGGCGCAAGCGUUGUCCGGAUUUAUUGGGCGUAAAGAGCUCGUAGGCGGCUUGUUGCGUCGUCCGUGAAAACCCGCAGCUCAACUGCGGGCUUGCGGACGAUACGGGCAGGCUGGAGUUCGGUAGGGGAGACUGGAAUUCCUGGUGUAGCGGUGAAAUGCGCAGAUAUCAGGAGGAACACCGGUGGCGAAGGCGGGUCUCUGGGCCGAUACUGACGCUGAGGAGCGAAAGCAUGGGGAGCGAACAGG